GACGGAGGGUGCAAGCGUUAUUCGGAUUUAUUGGGCGUAAAGAGCGUGUAGGCGGCCGGUCAAGCCAGAUGUGAAAGCCCAGGGCUUAACCCUGGAAGUGCAUUUGGAACUGGUUGGCUUGAGUUCGGGAGAGGGAAGUGGAAUUCCGGGUGUAGAGGUGAAAUUCGUAGAUAUCCGGAGGAACACCGGUGGCGAAGGCGACUUCCUGGACCGAAACUGACGCUGAGACGCGAAAGCGUGGGGAGCAAACAGG
rnacentral:rRNA from 1 species